rnacentral:rRNA from 1 species
UACGAAGGGGGCAAGCGUUGUUCGGAUUCACUGGGCGUAAAGGGCGCGUAGGCGGCCAGCACAAGUCAGUUGUGAAAUCUCCGAGCUUAACUCGGAAAGGUCAACUGAUACUGUGCGGCUAGAGUGCGGAAGGGGCAACUGGAAUUCUUGGUGUAGCGGUGAAAUGCGUAGAUAUCAAGAGGAACACCUGCGGCGAAGGCGGGUUGCUGGGCCGACACUGACGCUGAGGCGCGAAAGCUAGGGGAGCGAACGGG